rfam:Fusarium poae strain 2516 chromosome FPOA_3 Chr3, whole genome shotgun sequence.
GCGGGUUUAGCUCAGUUGGGAGAGCGUCAGACUGAAGCCAAACUUCAAUCAUCAUUCAUUGAUAUCUGAAGGUCGUGUGUUCGAUCCACACAAACCGCA